UACGUAGGGAGCAAGCGUUGUCCGGAUUUACUGGGCGUAAAGGGCGCGUAGGUGGUUCAUUAAGUUAGAGGUAAAAGUUCGGGGCUCAACCCCGUGAUGCCUCUGAUACUGGUGAACUUGAGUGCAGGAGAGGGUAGCAGAAUUCCCAGUGUAGCGGUGAAAUGCGUAGAUAUUGGGAGGAAUACCAGUGGCGAAGGCGGCUAUCUGGACUGUAACUGACACUGAGGCGCGAAAGCGUGGGGAGC
rnacentral:rRNA from 1 species